rnacentral:lncRNA from 1 species
CCUUGAGUAGGGGGAGGGAAGUGCAGCAGAGACAAGUUCCUAAGUGCAAGUGUCUUGAGACAGGAAGAGGCUCCCUGAAGAACUGAAGGAAGUCCUUUCCUUGUGGCUGGCACAGAGAUGCAGAGUGGCCUGGAAUUCUCUGGGGAAAAGAAACCCAAGCAGAGGUAUUGUUUCUAUGGUUCAGAGUCAUCCGGUUUUACCGACGACUAGCAGCCUGCCCCAACUGGCUAAAUACAUGCCAACAACGGACUGCUGAGACAGCACUGUGUGGUCUGCUGCCAAAACCCGCCUGAAAAUCACUGGUAUAGGGGAAUGAUGGGCUAUUGAAGAAUUCUAAGCAGAAAAAGUACAUGAUAGACAAAUGGCAUUAUGCCAGGACACAUGGCAAGUUUGCAAAUCUUCACUCUGCAUCGUCGGAGUACUUGCUGCAUGAGGGGUUCUCCUACUGCGCCAUCCCUGUCCCCAGGGGCCAGGCUUCUUUUUACCUCUUGUCCAAGUUUAUUGUGCACAACCGUUUGAUGAGCACUUGCAGGAGAGAAGCUGUCUUCAUUGCCACCUGCUAA